rnacentral:rRNA from 1 species
CACUAUCGUUAACUGAAUACAUAGGUUAACGAGGCGAACCGGGGGAACUGAAACAUCUAAGUACCCCGAGGAAAAGAAAUCAACCGAGAUUCCCCCAGUAGCGGCGAGCGAACGGGGAGCAGCCCAGAGUCUGAAUCAGCUUGUGUGUUAGUGGAACGGUCUGGAAAGUCCGACGGUACAGGGUGAUAGUCCCGUACACCAAAAUGCACAGGCUGUGAACUCGAAGAGUAGGGCGGGACACGUGGUAUCCUGUCUGAAUAUGGGGGGACCAUCCUCCAAGGCUAAAUACUCCUGACUGACCGAUAGUGAACCAGUACCGUGAGGGAAAGGCGAAAAGAACCCCGGCGAGGGGAGUGAAAAAGAACCUGAAACCGUGUACGUACAAGCAGUGGGAGCACCUUCGGGUGUGACUGCGUACCUUUUGUAUAAUGGGUCAGCGACUUAUAUUCUGUAGCAAGGUUAACCGUAUAGGGGAGCCGCAGGGAAACCGAGUCUUAACUGGGCGUUAAGUUGCAGGGUAUAGACCCGAAACCCGGUGAUCUAGCCAUGGGCAGGUUGAAGGUUGGGUAACACUAACUGGAGGACCGAACCGACUAAUGUUGAAAAAUUAGCGGAUGACUUGUGGCUGGGGGUGAAAGGCCAAUCAAACCGGGAGAUAGCUGGUUCUCCCCGAAAGCUAUUUAGGUAGCGCCUCGUGAACUCAUCUUCGGGGGUAGAGCACUGUUUCGGCUAGGGGGUCAUCCCGACUUACCAACCCGAUGCAAACUACGAAUACCGAAGAAUGUUAUCACGGGAGACACACGGCGGGUGCUAACGUCCGUCGUGAAGAGGGAAACAACCCAGACCGCCAGCUAAGGUCCCAAAGUCAUGGUUAAGUGGGAAACGAUGUGGGAAGGCACAGACAGCCAGGAUGUUGGCUUAGAAGCAGCCAUCAUUUAAAGAAAGCGUAAUAGCUCACUGGUCGAGUCGGCCUGCGCGGAAGAUGUAACGGGGCUAAACCAUGCACCGAAGCUGCGGCAGCGACACUAUGUGUUGUUGGGUAGGGGAGCGUUCUGUAAGCCUGCGAAGGUGUGCUGUGAGGCAUGCUGGAGGUAUCAGAAGUGCGAAUGCUGACAUAAGUAACGAUAAAGCGGGUGAAAAGCCCGCUCGCCGGAAGACCAAGGGUUCCUGUCCAACGUUAAUCGGGGCAGGGUGAGUCGACCCCUAAGGCGAGGCCGAAAGGCGUAGUCGAUGGGAAACAGGUUAAUAUUCCUGUACUUGGUGUUACUGCGAAGGGGGGACGGAGAAGGCUAUGUUAGCCGGGCGACGGUUGUCCCGGUUUAAGCAUGUAGGCUGGUUGUCCAGGCAAAUCCGGAUAAUCAAGGCUGAGGUGUGAUGACGAGGCACUACGGUGCUGAAGUAACAAAUGCCCUGCUUCCAGGAAAAGCCUCUAAGCAUCAGGUAACAU